rnacentral:rRNA from 1 species
UGGGGAAUUUUGGACAAUGGGCGCAAGCCUGAUCCAGCCAUGCCGCGUGCGGGAAGAAGGCCUUCGGGUUGUAAACCGCUUUUGUCAGGGAAGAAAUCUUCUGAGUUAAUACCUCGGGAGGAUGACGGUACCUGAAGAAUAAGCACCGGCUAACUACGUGCCAGCAGCCGCGGUAAUACGUAGGGUGCAAGCGUUAAUCGGAAUUACUGGGCGUAAAGCGUGCGCAGGCGGUUUUGUAAGACAGAGGUGAAAUCCCCGGGCUCAACCUGGGAACUGCCUUUGUGACUGCAAGGCUUGAGUGCGGCAGAGGGGGGAUGGAAUUCCGCGUGUAGCAGUGAAAUGCGUAGAUAUGCGGAGGAACACCGAUGGCGAAGGCAAUCCCCUGGGCCUGCACUGACGCUCAUGCACGAAAGCGUGGGGAGCAAACAGGAUUAGAUACCCUGGUAGUCCACGCCCUAAACGAUGUCAACUGGUUGUUGGGAAGGUUCCCUCUCAGUAACGUAGCUAACGCNUGAAGUUGACCGCCUGGGGAGUACGGCCGCAAGGUUG